CCUACGGGAGACUGCAGUGGGGAAUAUUGGGCAAUGGAGGCAACUCUGACCCAGCAACGCCGCGUGAAUGAUGAAGGUCUUCGGAUUGUAAAGUUCUGUGAUGGGGGAUGAACACAAUGACGGUACCCCAAUAGCAAGCCACGGCUAACUACGUGCCAGCAGCCGCGGUAAUACGGAGGUGGCAAGCGUUAUCCGGAAUGACUGGGCGUAAAGGGUGCGUAGGUGGUUUAGUAAGUUGGCGGUGUAAUUCCGGGGCUCAACCUCGGCGCUACCGCCAAAACUAUUAGACUAGAGUGCAGGAGGGGUAAGUGGAAUUCCUAGUGUAGCGGUGGAAUGCGUAGAUAUUAGGAGGAACAUCAGGGGCGAAGGCGACUUACUGGACUGUAACUGACACUGAGGCACGAAAGCGUGGGGAGCAAACAGGAUUAGAUACCCGAGUAGUC
rnacentral:rRNA from 1 species